AGUGAACGCUGGCGGUAGGCCUAACUCAUGCAAGUCGAACGGCAGCACAGUAAGAGCUUGCUCUUACGGGUGGCGAGUGGCGGACGGGUGAGGAAUACAUUGGAAUCUACUUUUUCGUGGGGGAUAACGUAGGGAAACUUACGCUAAUACCGCAUACGACCUACGGGUGAAAGCAGGGGAUCUUCGGACCUUGCGCGAUUGAAUGAGCCGAUGUCGGAUUAGCUAGUUGGCGGGGUAAAGGCCCACCAAGGCGACGAUCCGUAGCUGGUCUGAGAGGAUGAUCAGCCACACUGGAACUGAGACACGGUCCAGACUCCUACGGGAGGCAGCAGUGGGGAAUAUUGGACAAUGGGCGCAAGCCUGAUCCAGCCAUACCGCGUGGGUGAAGAAGGCCUUCGGGUUGUAAAGCCCUUUUGUUGGGAAAGAAAAGCAGCAGGUUAAUACCCCGCUGUUCUGACGGUACCCAAAGAAUAAGCACCGGCUAACUUCGUG
rnacentral:rRNA from 1 species